CCCUUAGAUGUUCUGGGCCGCACGCGCGCUACACUGACGAAUGCAACGAGCUUAUAACCUUGGCCGAAAGGUCUGGGUAAUCUCCAAAUUUCGUCGUGAUGGGGAUAGAUUAUUGCAAUUAUUAAUCUUCAACGAGGAAUGCCUAGUAAGCGCAAGUCAUCAGCUUGCGUUGAUUACGUCCCUGCCCUUUGUACACACCGCCCGUCGCUCCUACCGAUUGAAUGGUCCGGUGAAGCGUUCGGAUUGGCGCGCACCUCGGUGCCGCCGAGAAGUUGGCUAAACCUUACCAUUUAGAGGAAGGUGAANUCGUAACA
rnacentral:rRNA from 1 species